rnacentral:lncRNA from 1 species
UUUGGCUUGUGGGCUGAUGGCCUACACAGAAAGCAUCCGAAGCUGGUAAGCUUCCUUCCAGGUCGGUUUGUUCACCGGCCUCAAAAUUUAGGAGACUUUUAAUAUCCACUAAUAUUUUGUGCUUGUAUAAAAUGACCAGUAUGUCCUUCCAGCAGGAUUGAACCUAUUCAGGGGCCCCGAUCUUGAACCAGCUCUGAUCAAUUUGUUGGUCCACAAGGGUGAAUGAUAAAAGUUUGCAGAAUUUUUACAAAAAUUUGCUAUGGAAAUGUAGCUUUCAGCAUUUGAUUGAUCCAUCCUACAACCAUGUAGGGUGAUCCAAGUAUAAACUUACCUAACAAAGUAUGAACGGGUUCAACAAAUUGUUUGAGCAUCGAAAAACCAGACCGGUUUAUGUUCUGGUCCAGAUCCUAACUUGGAGCACAAAGAAUGAACACUACAUUAGUCAUCUGUAAAGGGUACUUGGUCCAACAAAAAAUAUAAAUCAUUAUUAGGAAAAACUAUCCUUGAUUUCUUUCUUGGAAAGUAUAAAAAAUAGUGCCGUCUCCUUUUUAUUUAUUUAUUAAGAUCAAGAAUAAUUCCCUAUUCAUAUUGUUUAACAUCCUUUAUUUGUGGUUUUGCUGUUAUUCCAAAGUCCAUUACUCAUUGCUUCAAAGGAGGGGAACAAUGGCGCAUAUGGUGGCCCUGGCCAAGCUUAACCUACUGGCCAGCGGCAUCAGCAACGGGCAACUCCUCUCUUCUCUCCUAUGUCUCUUUGUGCUCAAACUCCCCCUCGCCACCCUCAUGCCUGCAUCGUUCUCAGAUAUGGCCUCAUGCUUCAGGCUCCUCCUUUUCCAACUAAAUCACAUCUUGUUCCAUGACACACCAAUGACAAGCAAUCAUAGAUGGAGGAGAGCCCUCCGACUUCUCCGAGAUCGCAUUAUCAGCAGUGAGGGGUCGAUGAUCCAGUCUGACAUGGAAAAUUUGAACGCGAUCACCAUGCUUGCACUCUAGGCUUACAGUAAGUGAACUCCCACAGUGGAUUAAGGAGACUCUUUUCUUAUGUUCUGGUGAUGUAUAUGUAAUAUUGCUGGGUUACUUAUCUCCAUGUUAUUGAAGGCGUUUGGUAAUGUCUCGUAAACUAUAUAUAAUUGUGCAGUGAACUUUUGAUAGGUCACCACAAGUAUGGUUAGAAGGGUUCUCUCUCUCUCUCUCUCUCACACACACACACACUACAAAAAAAGAGAGAGGAAAUUCUGGUUAGAAGGUUUGAGGUUGUGUUGAUACGUACGUUUUAGUUUGGUGUUGUAGGUAAAGCCACAGAUAUUUGCUUGUUGAAUUGUUGAGGGGUUUCAGAGAGCUGGCAAUAGAUUUAUGUCAUCCUGUAAAAUUAUUAAUAUCAAUAUAUGGAUAUCCCCACCCUCCC